rnacentral:rRNA from 1 species
CACUGCUCAGUAACACGUGGACAACCUGCCCUGAGGACUGGAAUAAUCCCGGGAAACUGGGAGUAAUUCCAGAUAUGCCAGGGAACCUGGAAUGGUUUCUGGCAGAAAUGCUCCGGCGCCUCAGGAUGGGUCUGCGGCCUAUCAGGGUAGUAGUGGGUGUAACGUACCCACUAGCCUACGACGGGUACGGGUUGUGAGAGCAAGAGCCCGGAGAUGGAUUCUGAGACAUGAAUCCAGGCCCUACGGGGUGCAGCAGGCGCGAAAACUUUACAAUGCGGGCAACCGCGAUAAGGGGACCUCGAGUGCUGGGUUACAAACCUGGCUGUUGGGCUGCCUAAAAAGCAGUCUAUAGCAAGGGCCGGGCAAGACCGGUGCCAGCCGCCGCGGUAACACCGGCGGCUCGAGUGGUAACCGCUAUUAUUGGGUCUAAAGGGUCUGUAGCCGGCCGACUAAGUCUCUUGGGAAAUCUGGCAUCUCAAGUGUCAGGCUGCCAGGGGAUACUGGUCGGCUUGGGACCGGGAGAGGUGAGAGGUACCUCGGGGGUAGGGGUGAAAUCUUGUAAUCCUCGAGGGACCACCAGUGGCGAAGGCGUCUCACCAG